rnacentral:rRNA from 1 species
CCUACGGGCGGCUGCAGUGAGGAAUAUUGCGCAAUGGGGGAAACCCUGACGCAGCGACGCCGUGUGAGCGAUGAAGGCCUUCGGGUUGUAAAGCUCUGUCAGAGGGGAAGAAAGGGGAUAUGGCUAAUAUCCAUGUCCAUUGACGGUACCCUUGGAGGAAGCACCGGCUAACUCCGUGCCAGCAGCCGCGGUAAUACGGAGGGUGCGAGUGUUAUUCGGAAUCGCAGGGGGAUAAGAGCACGUGGUGGGAAAUCCCGGAGCUCAACUCCGGAACUGCAUUUGAUACUGCCUGUCUUGAGUGUGGUAGAGGGGGGUGGAAUUCCCGGUGUAGAGGUGAAAUUCGUAGAUAUCGGGAGGAACACCAGAGGCGAAGGCGACCCCCUGGGCCACUACUGACGCUGAGGUGCGAAAGCGUGGGGAGCAAACAGGAUUAGAUACCCCAGUAGUC